UAACACAAACAUUAGUUGUGUGUGGCAUACAAGGUCUAAGGGCAAAAAAAAUGAAGAAAAUUUGUACUAGUAUAUUUAAUUUUCUUGUAAUAUUUCUUAUUUUAUCAUCGUGUACGCAAAGCGAAUCGAGGAUAUUAAACUUGUCCGAUUUCAUAGAGACGACUCAGGUGCGAGGUCGCAGCAUCAGGCAGACUCUCAAACCCAAUCCUUCUCCAAUGGCAAAUGGUCACAGCUAUCAAUUUAGAAGUCCACCUCCCAUGAUCAUGAAAUAAGGAAGAAGGCUGAUCCUGAAUUUGAUGAUUUUGUAGUUUUGUUCCUUUUUUUUGUUUUU